rnacentral:misc_RNA from 1 species
UCCGGCUUAUCACCGGCGGUUUCCUUAGAGUGCCCAACUAAAUGGUAGCAACUAAGGACGGGGGUUGCGCUCGUUGCGGGACUUAACCCAACAUCUCACGACACGAGCUGACGACAGCCGUGCAGCAUCUGUGCACGCUCCCUUGCGGGUCGUCCCCGUCUCCGGGUUCUACCACGUGCAUGUCAAGCCCAGGUAAGGUUCUUCGCGUUGCGUCGAAUUAAACCACACGCUCCGCUGCUUGUGCGGGCCCCCGUCAAUUCCUUUGAGUUUUAGCCUUGCGGCCGUAGUCCCCAGGCGGCGGACUUAUCGCGUUAGCUGCGGCACCGGGGGGGUCGAUACCCCCGACACCUAGUCCGCAUCGUUUACGGCGUGGACUAC